rnacentral:rRNA from 1 species
GUGAACAUACCUUAAUGUUGCCUCGGCGGAUCAGCCCGCGCCCCGUAAAACGGGACGGCCCGCCAGAGGACCCAAACUCUAAUGUUUCUUAUUGUAACUUCUGAGUAAAACAAACAAAUAAAUCAAAACUUUCAACAACGGAUCUCUUGGUUCUGGCAUCGAUGAAGAACGCAGCAAAAUGCGAUAAGUAAUGUGAAUUGCAGAAUUCAGUGAAUCAUCGAAUCUUUGAACGCACAUUGCGCCCGCUGGUAUUCCGGCGGGCAUGCCUGUUCGAGCGUCAUUUCAACCCUCAAGCCCCCGGGUUUGGUGUUGGGGAUCGGCUCUGCCUUCUGGCGGCGCCGCCCCCGAAAUACAUUGGCGGUCUCGCUGCAGCCUCCAUUGCGUAGUAGCUAACACCUCGCAACUGGAACGCGGCGCGGCCAUGCCGUAAAACCCCAACUUCUGAAUGUUGACCUCGGAUCAGGUAGGAAUACCCGCUGAACUUAAGCAUAUCAAU